rnacentral:rRNA from 1 species
GUGUCAGCAGCCGCGGUAAGACGAACCGUGCGAACGUUGUUCGGAAUCACUGGGCUUAAAGGGCGCGUAGGCGGGCGAUCAAGUCAGGGGUGAAAUCCGUCGGCUUAACCGGCGAAGAGCUUUUGAUACUGGUCGUCUCGAGGGAGGUAGGGGCAUACGGAACUUCCGGUGGAGCGGUGAAAUGCGUAGAGAUCGGAAGGAACGCCGGUGGCGAAAGCGGUGUGCUGGACCUCUUCUGACGCUGAGGCGCGAAAGCCAGGGGAGCAAACGGGAUUAGAUACCCGCGUAGUCC